UUUUUUUUUUUUUUAAAUUUUUUUUUUUCCUCCAGGACUUGUGUGUUUUGUUCUGCGCACACACCGCCAACUGUUCCCCCACAGUCAGCAGCAGGUUGGGCCUGACCAUUGGGACUUGAUUGUCAAGUCACUGGAGGUCUUGACUUUUUUAUCUCAGUUCAUGUUCUCUUCCAUAAUUGGAAAGGACCUUUGUCUGUUUUUCCUCUUGGGUGCCUUCCAGAACGCAUCUCAUGUCCCUGGUGAGGGAAUUGGUGAGGGCCUGCUGUGAGCUGCUGUGGCUGCGAUGGUCACCCAGCUGGGCAAAUCACUGGAGUGACAAUUUGACCUGUCACCUGAGAAGGAUGGUCCCUCAGACUGCUGGGUAGAGGGCCUGGGGCAGGCUGGAGAGAGAAAGUGGGCAGAGGGUGAAGGGAUCACAGGGGUCUUGGAAGGUGGCAGUAGUUUGGACGGGGGUGGGGAGUAUGUGGGAGAAAAAAACAGACUGAAGGUAGAAUCCUUGGGAACCUUUGAGGAGCGGCACAUUCUGGCAGGCACCUGUAGUCCCAGCUACUCGGAGGCUGAGGCAGGAGAAUGGCAUGAACCCGGGAGGCGGAGCUUGCAGUGAGCUGAGAUCACGCCACUGCACCCCAGCCUGGGCUACAGAGCAAGACUCCGUCUC
rnacentral:lncRNA from 1 species